rnacentral:rRNA from 1 species
GUGGGGAAUAUUGGACAAUGGGCGAAAGCCUGAUCCAGCCAUGCCGCGUGUGUGAAGAAGGUCUUCGGAUUGUAAAGCACUUUAAGUUGGGAGGAAGGGCAGUAAGUUAAUACCUUGCUGUUUUGACGUUACCGACAGAAUAAGCACCGGCUAACUUCGUGCCAGCAGCCGCGGUAAUACGAAGGGUGCAAGCGUUAAUCGGAAUUACUGGACGUAAAGCGCGCGUAGGUGGUUUUGUAAGUUGGAGGUGAAAUCCCCGGGCUCAACCUGGGAACUGCCUCCAAAACUGCAUGACUAGAGUACGGUAGAGGGUAGUGGAAUUUCCUGUGUAGCGGUGAAAUGCGUAGAUAUAGGAAGGAACACCAGUGGCGAAGGCGACUACCUGGACUGAUACUGACACUGAGGUGCGAAAGCGUGGGGAGCAAACAGGAUUAGAUACCCGUGUAGUCC